GGGGCCUGCUUGAAGAUUUUAUGGAACUGACACUGAUUAUAGAUCAGACAAGAGGGAACAUGUGAUAAAACACACAGACGCAAACCCAGAGCCAGGAUUCUCGGAAAAGUGAGAUCAUUGUUUUUAAAGAAAAACAGGCGCAUAAGAACAUGAGCUUCACACACACACUCUCACACACACACACGGAUUUCAACAUACUGGCCUGCGAUUUCUGAUAUGACAUUAGUGAUCAAUUCCGAUAACAAUACUUGUUGCAAAACUUUGAAAAAUGAGGGUUAGAUUAGAUAUGAGCGUGGAAUAAGGAGAUAACAUCACCUCACAGGUCAGUGGUAAACAAUGCACAAAGUCCAGUUAGGGCAGUUUUUCUACUGCACAUAUAGAAACAAAACCAAGCCUUGAGAAACUCUUUUGAGAAACAAGGAACACAGUAAAUUCAAGUGCCUAUGAUGCAUUUGACACCAUUUUAAGCCCCUUAUGGCUGAGGUAGGAAAUGCUAACAGGCUAUGCUAAUAACUGAUGUAGAAAAAAAACACUAACACUCUGAGGUAAUCUCUAAUGUAGAAUAAAACACUAACACUGAGGUAAUCACUAAUGAGGUAAUCUCUAAUGUAGAAUAAAACACUAACACUGAGGUAAUCUUAAUGUAAGAAUAUAACACUAACACUCUGAGGUAAUCUCUAAUGUAGAAUAUAACACUAACACUCUGAGGUAAUCUCUAAUGUAGAAUAAAACACUAACACUCUGAGGUAAUCGCUAAUGUAGAAUAAAACACUAACACACAUAGAAUUAGAAGCUACCACUAUCUAAGCUAAUCACUGAUGUUAGAUGAAGGGCUAACACACUAAACCAAUUCACAGCGAUGGUGAAAAUGAAGACCUAACGCUCAGCUAAUGACUGGUGUAAACUAUGGCGUAGGUCGAAGGCCUAGCGUCCUUAGCUAAUGACAUAUGUAGCUUUGCUAAUCACAUAUGUAGCAUGACGAGCUAAAUAUAGGGUAGACUGCUUAUAUCAAAACAAGCUGUGUGCUACAGACACCAUGUCAUUAUGUCAGCUGUGAACUUCAACACCUUCAUACUUCAUUUUGAGAGAUUUGUUGCAGCCUGAGUGAAGUGGACUCGCCUGAUUCUGUUCACACUGUAUUUCCUUUCACCUCAGCAAAAUUUUGAUCAGAUUGAUCAGAAACAGUAACUCUGACCUCUGGUGUUUAAGUGUGUUUGUACCUGAGCUUGUUAAAGUUUAAGUCUGGUUUCAUGAUUGUGGUGCUAUUUAGCCCUUGUUGUACCUCUUAGAAAAUACAUUAAAAAAAAAAAAAAAAAAAAAAAGAUUGUAGGG
ensembl:lncRNA